UACGAAGGGGGCUAGCGUUGCUCGGAAUCACUGGGCGUAAAGGGUGCGUAGGCGGGUCUUUAAGUCAGGGGUGAAAUCCUGGAGCUCAACUCCAGAACUGCCUUUGAUACUGAAGAUCUUGAGUUCGGGAGAGGUGAGUGGAACUGCGAGUGUAGAGGUGAAAUUCGUAGAUAUUCGCAAGAACACCAGUGGCGAAGGCGGCUCGCUGGGACGGUACUGACGCUGAGGCGCGAAAGCGUGGGGAGCGAACAGG
rnacentral:rRNA from 1 species